AACAGCUUUACAAACUAUUUACACAAAAAUUCGUUCUGCUCCUGUUUCAUGAAUGAGGCCCAUUGUGACUUUUGGAUGAGUUGGCAGUGGAAUUGCAAUUGCACUCUUUUCCAAAAACUUUAUUAUGACAACGACAUAAUUGUAUAAUAUAGUAUAUAUUGUAUAAUAUAGUAGUUAAUAUAAUCUGAUCAUUUAUUGCGAAAUAUUUUGCAACUGCAGCAUUAUAUUUCAUGGUUGUUUAAGCGUGCACUGUUUGUUUUAAGCAUCAGUAAGGCCAGAGAGAGCUGUGUAUGGAGGACUGUGAUCUGCUUCAGACGAGCUGCAGCUGCAGAUCUGAUUUCACAAACUUUUGCGGAAUUAAAACAUUCUUGCGGGGAUUUCAGGGGCUUUAAAUCUCACACGCGCUUUCACAAGGAAUAAACACACAUAUAAAGUCUCGCACUGCAACGCAGCGGUCAGCAUUGAGGAGGAUCUUGGACAAUGGCUUCAUACACGUUACCGGAGGGAUUCAGCGAUUUCGACAUGUUCGCCUUCGGCUCCGCGCUGCUGGUGGGCGGUCUUCUCGGUUUCUUUCUUAACUUGAUCUCGGUGGUGGCGUUCCUCAGAAUCCGGGAGAUGCAGACGCCCAAUAACUUCUUCGUCUUUAACCUGGCUGUGGCCGACCUGAGCCUCAACAUUAACGGUUUAGUGGCUGCUUAUGCCAGUUACCUGAGAUACUGGCCGUUCGGGUCGGAGGGCUGUCAGAUUCACGCUUUUCAGGGAAUGGUGUCGAUCCUCGCAGCCAUCAGUUUUCUCGCUGCCAUUGCUUGGGACAGAUAUCAUCAGUACUGUACUAAGCAGAAGAUGUUCUGGAGCACGUCUAUGACCAUGAGCACCAUCAUCUGGAUCCUGGCCGUGUUCUGGGCGGCUCUGCCUCUGCCGGCCAUCAGCUGGGGCGUCUUUGACUUUGAGCCGAUGAAAACAUGCUGUACGCUCGACUACACGCAAGGAGACCGGAGUUACAUCACCUACAUGCUGUCCAUCACUGUACUGUAUUUAGCAUUCCCUCUUAUGGUUCUGCAGUCGUCCUACAAUGCCAUCUAUGCUUAUUUCAAAAAGACGCACCACUUCAAGUUUAACACAGGUUUACCUCUGAAAGCGCUGCUGUUCUGCUGGGGUCCGUAUGUUCUGAUGUGCACAUACGCCUGCUUCGAGAACGUUAAUCUCGUUUCCCCAAAGCUCAGAAUGGUCCUUCCGGUGCUGGCCAAGACGUCUCCGAUCUUCCACGCCGUCCUGUAUGCGUUCGGUAACGAGUUCUACCGCGGAGGAAUCUGGCAGUUCCUCACCGGGCAGAAAUCCACGGACAAGAAGAAAUAGUGAAAGAGCUUUAGCCAUGUAAUGUUGUAUUCAGAUGAGUCUGCAAGAGUUUACACGUGACGGGACUGUAAUUCACUGUAUAUGUCAAAUCAGUGCCUAACACAUUUGGAGAUAUUUGUCCAUGAUUGUGAUUAUUGAAGACUGACAUAUGAAGCCUUAUUUCAGUUUCCUGGAGUGUCAGAGAUGACUUACACAGUUCAUUCAGGACACAAUCAUUUAACCAUUUCAUUUGCCUUACUGUCGCUGUUGACCAGUGCAUUAGAAUACAGUAUUCAUGUGUAAAUCUGUAAGUAAGAGGAUUUUUUCUAACCAAGACUUGAAGCCAGUGAAUGAACCGCUAAAAACAAAAGGGCCUUUCAUUGUUAAUCCACAGAAUAAACCGUGAAGCACAAGACAGUUUGUCACGGGUUCUUUAAGGGUUCAGAAGGAGACUGAUGAAGGCGAAUGAACUCUACUAGAAUCUCUCGUCAAGGACUGGCUUGCAGAUGGUCAUCUUCACUGGUUUAGCUGGUUUCCUUAACAAACCGUCAUCUGACUCAGUUCAGUGUGUUUCUCAAGGCACACUGAUGUUCACAGAUCUUCUCCGUCUCCAGCUCAGAUCUCGAAGCGGUGGCUAAUCAACAUUCACGUUAGGAUUAGAAAUUCUCCAGGGCUCAGUAAUCUGCAGUAAUUCCUCUGCACAAGGAGCUGCUCUCAUAUCAGUAGAUUUGGGUUUCUGACGUGUGUUGAAGACCAAAGAGGAUCAGGAGAGCUUUACUGCAGCCGGUCACGGGCGACCGAACUCUGAAGCUACUCUGUUCCUCAGAAACACACCGGAGCACAGCUGAAGAGGAGCGUCUGUUCGUUUAUUCAUUCAUUCACUAUCAGCCUUUUCCCUUUAGUGUCUUUCUUCCUCUUUUAAUGUAAGUGAACUGUAUGUAUUGACAUCUUUCAGUUCACAGUCCUCCACAGUUCCUGGAAUCAGGUGUAUUUAACAUGAGCUAAAAAACAAAAAACUCAACAUGGCAAAGAAUGUUAGAUCUUUUUAAUGCUGUUUAGAAAAGAAGAUUGAGAUAAUUUGGGAUAAAGUAUAAAUUCAUGGCAAU